GAUACCUAAAACUCCACAUCAAUAGUGUCCGGGUUUUGAAACUCGAAAUUUAACACGGAGGAUUGUUAUAUUUCGUUCAACGAUAAUAUAUAAGCAACUGUGUAUUACUCUAUUUUAUAAAAACUAUUAAGGGUUUUUUAGAAAUUCGACCACCGAUGACCGACGCUCGCACACACGUUUUAUUCCUUAAAAUACGGAAAUUGCGAUUUGUUUUUUUUUU